GACGAACGCUGGCGGCGUGCUUAACACAUGCAAGUCGAGCGGUAAGGCCCUUUCGGGGGUACACGAGCGGCGAACGGGUGAGUAACACGUGGGUGACCUGCCCUCAGCUCUGGGAUAAGCCUGGGAAACCGGGUCUAAUACCGGAUAUGACUCCAUGACGCAUGUUGUGGGGUGGAAAGCCUUGUGCGGCUGAGGGUGGGCCCGCGGCCUAUCAGCUUGUUGGUGGGGUGAUGGCCACCAAGGCGACGACGGGUAGCCGGCCUGAGAGGGCGACCGGCCACACUGGGACUGAGACACGGCCCAGACUCCUACGGGAGGCAGCAGUGGGGAAUCUUGCGCAAUGGGCGAAAGCCUGACGCAGCGACGCCGCGUGAGGGAUGACGG
rnacentral:rRNA from 1 species